rnacentral:rRNA from 1 species
UAGUAUAAGCAACUAUACGGCGAAACUGCGAACGGCUCAUUAUAUAAGUUAUCGUUUAUUUGAUAGCACCUUACUACUUGGGUAACCGUGGUAAUUCUAGAGCUAAUACAUGCUAAAAAUCCCGACUCCGGAAGGGAUGUGUUUAUUAGAUUCAAAACCAAUGCCCCCUGGGCUCACUGGUGAUUCAUGAUAACCGCUCGAAUCGCACGGCCUUGCGCCGGCGAUGGUUCAUUCAAAUUUCUUCCCUAUCAACUUUCGAUGUUUGGGUAGUGGCCAAACAUGGUUGCAACGGGUAACGGAGGGUUAGGGCUCGACCCCGGAGAAGGAGCCUGAGAAACGGCUACUACAUCCAAGGAAGGCAGCAGGCGCGCAAAUUACCCAAUCCCGACACGGGGAGGUAGUGACAAUAAAUACCGAUAUAGGGCUCUUUUGGGUCUUAUAAUUGGAAUGAGUACAAUUUAAAUCCCUUAACGAGGAACAAUUGGAGGGCAAGUCUGGUGCCAGCAGCCGCGGUAAUUCCAGCUCCAAUAGCGUAUAUUAAAGUUGUUGUGGUUAAAAAGCUCGUAGUUGAACCUUGGGCCUGGCUGGCCGGUCCGCCUCACCGCGUGCACUGGUCCGGCCGGGCCUUUCCCUCCGCGGAACCCCAUGCCCUUCGCUGGGCGUGGCGGGGAAACGGGACUGUUACUUUGAAAAAAUUAGAGUGCUCCAGGCAGGCCUAUGCUCGAAUACAUUAGCAUGGAAUAAUGAAAUAGGACGCGCGGUUCUAUUUUGUUGGUUUCUAGGACCGCCGUAAUGAUUGAUAGGGACAGUCGGGGGCGUCAGUAUUCAACCGUCAGAGGUGAAAUUCUUGGACCGGUUGAAGACUAACUACUGCGAAAGCAUUCGCCAAGGAUGUUUUCAUUAAUCAGGAACGAAAGCUAGGGGAUCGAAGACGAUCAGAUACCGUCGUAGUCUUAGCCAUAAACUAUGCCGACUAGGGAUCGGGCGAUGUUAUUCUUUGACUCGCUCGGCACCUUCCGAGAAAUCAAAGUGCUUGGGC